rnacentral:rRNA from 1 species
UACGAAGGGGGCUAGCGUUGCUCGGAAUCACUGGGCGUAAAGCGCACGUAGGCGGCUUUUUAAGUCAGGGGUGAAAUCCUGGAGCUCAACUCCAGAACUGCCUUUGAUACUGAGAAGCUUGAGUCCGGGAGAGGUGAGUGGAACUGCGAGUGUAGAGGUGAAAUUCGUAGAUAUUCGGAAGAACACCAGUGGCGAAGGCGACUCGCUGGACAGACAUUGACGCUGAGGUGCGAAAGCGUGGGGAGCAAACAGG